CCAGGAGGAUUACCAUUGUCUAUUCAAAGAAGGCUUUGGGUAGGGCCCCUCAGUCAGAUUAUCCUUAUGUAGGUGGAGAACAUAAACUUGGAAACUUAAUUGGAAUUUGAAGAAAUGCUAUUAGAAUUUUAGGAAGUCAUUCGUAUUCCAUUUCUGAGACGUGACCUGGAUAGAAUUCUGAAGAACACUCCAAAAAUAUUAGAACAAAGAGAAACUUGUUCCUCCAACCUUAAAAAAAGAAGAGUGGCUGAGUGCCAUGGCUCACGCCUGUAAUCCCAGCACUUUGGGAGGCUGAGACUUCACGGAGUGAGAAAACGCUAUGAAGCCCAGGAAGCAGGAGUUCAUGAAGAGGGUGUUGAACAGGGACCAGACGACGUGGUCGGGCACGGAGGU